rnacentral:pre_miRNA from 1 species
AUAACAUUCGGACCGUUGGUCUACUGAACAAUACCACCCACUUGGUGGAAGAUCUACCCUUCGUCUU